UAUAUUUCUUGGUUUUCCUUCUUCUUCUUUCUUCUUCUUCUUCUCAAAUCUACUUUUGAAGUAGGCCUUGCUCCAGUUGGGUAUUUGGCCAAGUAGAAAAAGAAGAAAGAAGGC
rnacentral:ribozyme from 1 species